rnacentral:rRNA from 1 species
AAGUCGAGGGGCAGCAUAGAAGUAGCAAUACUUGGUGGCGACCGGCGCACGGGUGAGUAACGCGUAUGCAACCUACCUAUCAGAGGGGAAUAACCCGGCGAAAGUCGGACUAAUACCGCAUAAAACAGGGGCACCGCAUGGUGAUAUUUGUUAAAGAAAUUCGCUGAUAGAUGGGCAUGCGUUCCAUUAGGUAGUUGGUGAGGUAACGGCUCACCAAGCCGACGAUGGAUAGGGGAACUGAGAGGUUGGUCCCCCACGCUGGUACUGAGACACGGACCAGACUCCUACGGGAGGCAGCAGUGAGGAAUAUUGGUCAAUGGGCGGGAGCCUGAACCAGCCAAGUCGCGUGAAGGAAGAAGGAUCUAUGGUUCGUAAACUUCUUUUGCAGGGGAAUAAAGUGCAGGACGUGUCCUGUUUUGUAUGUACCCUGAGAAUAAGGAUCGGCUAACUCCGUGCCAGCAGCCGC